rnacentral:rRNA from 1 species
AACUAACGCUGGCGGCGUGCCUAACACAUGCAAGUCGAACGAGAAAGUUGGCUUCGGCCGAUGAGUAAAGUGGCGCACGGGUGAGUAACGCGUGGAUAAUCUGCCCUUUAGUUUGGAAUAACGUACCGAAAGGUGCGCUAAUACCGGAUAAUACUGAAUGACUACUGUUGUUUAGUCAAAGAAGGCUUCUGUUUACAUGCUUUUGCUGAAGGAUGAGUCCGCGUACCAUUAGCUAGUUGGUAGGGUAAUGGCCUACCAAGGCGACGAUGGUUAGCUGGUCUGAGAGGAUGAUCAGCCACACUGGAACUGAGACACGGUCCAGACUCCUACGGGAGGCAGCAGUGAGGAAUAUUGCGCAAAUGGGGGGCAACCCUGACGCAGCAACGCCGCGUGAGUGAGGAAGGUUUUCGGACCCGUUAAAGCUCUGUCGAGCGGGAAGAAAUGCAUGGUGGCUAAUAUCCAUCAUGCUUGACGGUACCGCUAAAGGAAGCACCGGCUAACUCCGU